CUGCUUGGCUUAUUGAAGGCAGAGGCCACUUGUCUGGCAGGGUAGCAGCUCCAGAGGGGCCACAGCUGCCGCCUGUCAGGGCUCAGGGGCUGCAGCUGCUGGGCAGUUUACAAAGGGAAGGGGGCCAGGGCUUGGUGCUGCUGAGGGUUGUGCCCUGCCGGUGAUGGAGGCUAGUGGUACUGGGGCUUGUUCUCCACGAGUGCUCAGGCCUCCCACAUCCCCGCAUCUGGGCAUAGAUGUGCAUUGCUGCUUGCUGCUCCUGAUGCCUGUGCCAGGGGAGGUUUGCUCUUGCUCUCAGCCCGGGCAGAAAAUGAGGGUACUGAAGCAGUGCUGAAUCUCUUCAGAUGUCCCCUGGAAAGGGCCUGAGCUUUCACACCUCAUGUCAGUACAGGAGGAGAACAGCUGUGACACCCUGCGGAGUCCCCCGAGAGCUGCACAGGGAAAUUCUCCUCUGCUUUUGACGGUGCCUCUGUUUACACACCAGCCUGCCUGGCCCCCACCCCAUGCUGGGACCUGCUGCCAUGCUGCUUGUCACCAUGUCCCAGGUACUUUGCCAGGCUGCUGACCAGCAGGCGCAGCUUCUGGAGGAGCUGUCUGUGUGCCCAGGCCCCGCUGCCUCCUGCCCCGUGCCUGCCGCAGCUGCUGGCCCCAGCAGAACCCUGCCCUUGCUUGUCCGGGCAGCAGCACACUGGUGGGGAUUCCUCACCAACAGGAGAUUCGGGUGCUGCUGGAUCUGUUCAGUGUGGGCUCUUGUAGAGCACAGUAUUUUGAUUGGAAUGGCACGUGAUAUGGAGCCAAACAACUCACGGAAGUCUGUUACAUCAACAUAAUUGCCUUAAUCAGCCAAACUUGUAAUCUCUGUGCAGAAGGAGGGACCCUUCCACACACCUCAGACCCUUCGGCAGGAAAUCUUUGCUCUGCAGAGGCUGCUGCGUGCUGCCGCUGCAAUAAACCAGAGACAUGGCUCCAGCACAAACAGCGGAACAGAAGCAGGUUUUCCCUUC